UCAGCAAGGAGCGAGAGUAAUGGCUUUCUGCGCGCCGAAGUAUUUCUGUGGAAUAAAAUCGUUUUCUUGUGUUUGCAGAUGGAGGGAGCAGAAAAAUCUUUAUGACAAAAUACGUCGCAGAAUGUCUGCAAUUGAAAACUACCAAGGACUGACUCGGAUGGCAUAUAUAGGAGCCGAAAUCUGCAUGCAGAUCGCACUGUGAUGUGAUUUGUACAGGCCAAGAUGUUAAAAGUUUUACAAGCAUAUUGAAGUGGUGUGUGACAGAUUUUCAACAGCAAAAUUUUGGAGACAAAAUAAGAGCAUUAUUGUGAAGUGGUGAUUUGUCAAAGAUGUUACAGCAGUGGUGUGUGACAAAAUUUCUUACAGCAGAGUUAUGGAAAGAUAACCAGGCAGCUACAGCAGAGACCAGAUGCAAAUGACAGAGUUCAAAGUGAUGGGUGCUUUUUGAUGAAACAAGCGAUGGAAUUUUUACCAUUCAAAAUAAUGGACUCUGAUGUAUUUCAUAUUUGCAUGUAUUGUGUGUAUAAUGAAAUUUGCCCGUAAAAGAGGCACACUAUUG